UUGUAAACAAAGACUUCUAGAGUGGGAAACACCAAGCAGCAAAGUUAACCCCAUAAAUAUUCAGCUAGCAAAAGUGCAAAUAUAUCACGUUGAAAUACGCCAUGUUUAUCACACCAGAACUUCCUUGUUGAACUCAGAAAUAGGAACAACAGGUUCUUCACUCCACAAGGGCAGCAACUUCAAAAACAACUUCUGCAGCUUUCUGAUUAUCCUAUCUUGAAAUAUGUGCUUUGUCCCAGAGACUACAAUUCAAAGACUUUCAGAUUCUGAAGGCUAAUGAGCAUGCAGACUGCCAUGAUGGAGUACAGACAUUGAAAGGCUUGCAUGUUCUAGUCUGGACUGGCCCUUCUACAGCCCUGAUGGUACUGUGUCGGGUCUUCAGCCUUGUGUCCCUCUGUGGUGCCUUGAUCUGAAGAUUGGAAGGACCACGAUGAACAUGAG